AACUUUCGGCAACGGAUCACUUGGCUCUCGCAUCGAUGAAGAACGCAGCGAAAUGCGAUAAGUAAUGUGAAUUGCAGAAUUCAGUGAAUAAUCGAAUUUUUGAACGCACCUUGCACCCUUUGGUAUUCCGAAGGGUAUGCUCGUUUGAGUGUCAUUGUACUCUCACACUCUCUGAUCCUUUGGAUUCAGGGAGCGGUGGACUUGGGUGUUUGCUGCUUUCCUAGUGGCUCACCUCAAAUGCGUCAGUGCACCUCUUGGUUGGACAUAGUACGGCGUGAUAAGUAUCUUCGCCGGCACCUCGCGAGAGGGUGGCUGAUCGGGAGCUCUGUGCUUUCAAACCGUCUUCGGACAAUCUCUGACAACUUGACCUCAAAUCGAGUAGGACUACCCGCUGAACUUAAGCAUAUCAAUAAGCGGAGGCU
rnacentral:misc_RNA from 1 species